AUUGAACGCUGGCGGCAGGCCUAACACAUGCAAGUCGAACGAGUGGCGGACGGGUGAGUAAUGUCUGGGAAACUGACUGAUGGAGGGGGAUAACUACUGGAAACGGUAGCUAAUACCGCAUACCAUCAGAUGUGCCCAGAUGGGAUUAGCUUGUUGGUGGGGUAAAGGCUCACCAAGGAGACGAUCCCUAGCUGGUCUGAGAGGAUGAACAGCCACACUGGAACUGAGAAACGGUCCAGACUCCUACGGGAGGGAGCGGUGGGGAGUAUUGCACAAUGGGCGCAAGCCUGAUGCAGCCAUGCCGCGUGUAUGAAGAAGGCCUUCGGGUUGGAAAGUACUUUCAGCGGGGAGGCGUUACCCGCAGAAGAAGCACCGGCUAACUCCGUGCCAGCCGCCGCGGUAAUAC
rnacentral:rRNA from 1 species